rnacentral:rRNA from 1 species
UACGGAGGGUGCAAGCGUUAUCCGGAUUCACUGGGUUUAAAGGGUGCGUAGGUGGGCAGGUAAGUCAGUGGUGAAAUCUCCGGGCUUAACCCGGAAACUGCCAUUGAUACUAUCAGUCUUGAAUACCGUGGAGGUAAGCGGAAUAUGUCAUGUAGCGGUGAAAUGCUUAGAUAUGACAUAGAACACCAAUUGCGAAGGCAGCUUACUACCCGAAUAUUGACACUGAGGCACGAAAGCGUUGGGGAUCAAACAGG